rnacentral:rRNA from 1 species
AUACGUAGGGGGCGAGCGUUGUCCGGAAUGAUUGGGCGUAAAGGGCGCGUAGGCGGCCCGGUAAGUCUGGAGUGACAGUCCUGUUUUUAAGAUGGGAAUUGCUUUGGAUACUGUCGGGCUUGAGUGCAGGAGAGGUAAGUGGAAUUCCCAGUGUAGCGGUGAAAAGCGUAGAUAUUGGGAGGAACACCAGUGGCGAAGGCGGCUUUCUGGACUGUAACUGACGCUGAGGCGCGAAAGUGUGGGGAGCAAACAGGAUUAGAUACCCUGGUAGUCCACGCUGUAAACGAUGAAUGCUAGGUGUAGGGGGGAUCGCCCCCUUCGGUGCCGCAGUCAACGCAAUAAGCAUUCCGCCUGGGGAGUACGGCCGCAAGGUUGAAACUCAAAGGAAUUGACGGGG